rnacentral:rRNA from 1 species
GCAGGCUGCAACCCGCCUGUAUGAAGUUGGAAUCGCUAGUAAUCGCGGAUCAGCAUGCCGCGGUGAAUACGUUCCCGGGCCUUGUACACACCGCCCGUCACACCAUGAGAGUCGGGAACACCCGAAGUCCGUAGCCUAACCGCAAGGGGGGCGCGGCCGAAGGUGGGUUCGAUAAUUGGGGUGAAGUCGUAACAAGGUAGC